rnacentral:rRNA from 1 species
AUGCCAAUAGUGAUUUUUUUUAUUACUGGUAAAGGAGUCAGACAAGGGGACCCUUACUCCCCUCUUCUAUUUAAUUUGGUAGCUGAUGUUUUUACUAGAAUUCUUGUUAAAGCAUCUAGAAACAACAUCCUGGAAGGUCUUUUCCCUAGUUCCAAUCCAGCUGGUAUUAUUAGCAUGCAAUAUGCUGAUUACACCUUGUUAUUUUUUAGUAACAACCCUGCUCAUGCCAGGAACCUUAAAUGGCUGAUGUCCUGUUUUGAGCAAAUUUCUGGGAUGAGAAUUAACUUUCACAAAUGUGAUUUGGUGCCCAUUAAUGUGAUGAGGAAGAAGCAAAAAUAUUUGCUCAAAUCCUUGGUUGCAAACUGGGUGAUUUUCCCAUUAAAUAUUUAG